rnacentral:lncRNA from 10 species
GAAUUUUUUUCUGAGAAGUGAUGGUGUAGGAAAAGGCACUGAAAAACUUAGCAGUCCUAGCAGGAGGACUGGAGAGGUUCUCUCUCUCUUUUUCUUUUAGUGGCUUUUCACUGUGUUGUACGUGGUGGAGAAUAAACUUUAGGGGAUGCGAUUAACAACAUGCCCAAAUGCUGAGGCAGUCAGCAUGUUUGAAUAAAUGGUUUGAACAUGGUUCUCUAGGCUGAAUUUCUGGCAGUGUAGAGGCUUGGAAGCAUCACGCAGGGGCAAGACUUCAGAGGGGAACCAGGCAAAAGAGAACUGAGUGGCCUGACCUGGCAGCCAUCUGAGAGGGUUAUCAAGCUUUGGAAAUGACACUGUGUUAAUUCUGGAAAAUGUUGUUCCAGGUGCUCCUUCCUUUACACAAUGCUAACAUUUGCAUGGAAAAGCUGGAUGAGUGAUUAAAUAAUUAAAAUAUCUCUAUAAUUUGAAUCUUAUCUAAUGGUGAAUUCCAUGGCAGAAUUAUGGAGAAUGUCUAGGCUGUUUAUGAUUAACGAGAUUUGUUGUUAUAGUGUAGAGCCUGCUUUCAGUAUGUGUUUGGAUUCGAAGUGGCAUGAUUCCAAAUCUGGUUUUACUCACAUCCUUCCUGCAUUUUCAAAUAGACUGAACAUUAACACUGCAAGUGAAUUGCUGAAGAAAUAAUUACUGAGGUAUUUUAAAGCACACUUCUGCCAUUAAGUGGAACUGAAAAAAAAAAUGGAAGAGAUAUAUGUUUUAAGCAAUACAGGCUUAAGUAUGAACAAAGAGGGUUCAAAAGAUGAAAGCAGUACUAAUGCAACUUUUCACUUUUUGUAUUUUUUGGGAUAUACUUUUGGCUCUGUAGCCAAAGGAUAGCCUCUCGAUUUAACUAUUAGGAAAUACUAAAAGUAAACAGAAAUACUUAUAAUCUUCCAUUUUCUUUCCUAUUAAGAAAUAGACAAUUGUUUCUAAUGCUCAGACCUGAGUGGAUCUGCUGCAACCCAAGACUGAACUGAGGAGCACAAAAGAGGGUAUGUCAGAAGAGAGAGACAGAGAGAGAGAGAGACAGAGAGAUGAUACAGGACUCUGAAAUCUUUACAUUUAGCUUUGUGAAAUCACAAGAUUUUUGUAACAUCUCUUCCAGGUAGACACAUGCACACAUACCAAAUAUUCCAAAGAAACCUAUAAUUUAAAAAAUUAUCUUUGGGAUUUGAUUAUUGUAUCACCACAGCUCUCUGUUAGCAUAGAUAAUUGAGGGGUGCUUGUGAACACUCGUGACUGAAAAUGCCACCAUUGUUGAGGAAAUUAGGUUCUGCGAAAUGGCUUCAUGGUUUGGCUCCACAUUAAGGAUGAGGUGUACAAGAAUGAAAAGGGAAAUAAUUUCUGAAUAUAUUUUCUUCAUUGCUGUGACUUAUUACUUACUGCAUAUUGGCCCUUUGGCUUUUAUACUAUAAAAAAACAUAAGUUCGGUUAUAUUCUGCUGACCAAAGGAAAUCAUGACAUAAACUGCUAGUUGUACUGUUUCUUUCCUGUUUUGCAACCAAUAUAAAAUACUACAUUUCUCUACAUUAAAAAUAUACAUAGUGAAUUUAAAUGCUUCCUCAGUUUAAUAACCACUAUAAAAAUAGCCAGG